rnacentral:rRNA from 1 species
UACGGGGGGAGCAAGCGUUGUUCGGAUUUACUGGGCGUAAAGGGCGCGUAGGCGGUCAGCACAAGUCAGUUGUGAAAUCUCCGGGCUUAACUCGGAAAGGUCAACUGAUACUGUGCGACUAGAGUGCAGAAGGGGCAACUGGAAUUCUCGGUGUAGCGGUGAAAUGCGUAGAUAUCGAGAGGAACACCUGCGGCGAAGGCGGUUGCUGGGCUGACACUGACGCUGAUGCGCGAAAGCCAGGGGAGCGAACGGG